rnacentral:tRNA from 1 species
GGCUGUAGCUUAGUGGCAGAGGGCUUGCCUAGCAUGUGUGAGGCACUGGGUUCAAUCCUCAGCACCA